rnacentral:rRNA from 1 species
GCAUAUCAAUAAGCGGAGGAAAAGAAACCAACAGGGAUUGCCCCCAGUAACGGCGAGUGAAGCGGCAACAGCUCAAAUUUGAAAUCUGGCCCUAGGCCCGAGUUGUAAUUUGCAGAAGGAUGCUUUGGGCGCGGUGCCUUCCGAGUUCCCUGGAACGGGACGCCAUAGAGGGUGAGAGCCCCGUCUGGUCGGACACCAAGCCUAUGUAAAGCUCCUUCGACGAGUCGAGUAGUUUGGGAAUGCUGCUCAAAAUGGGAGGUAUAUGUCUUCUAAAGCUAAAUACCGGCCAGAGACCGAUAGCGCACAAGUAGAGUGAUCGAAAGAUGAAAAGCACUUUGAAAAGAGAGUUAAAUAGCACGUGAAAUUGUUGAAAGGGAAGCGUUUAUGACCAGACUUGGCCCGGUUGAUCAUCCAGCGUUCUCGCUGGUGCACUCUGCCGGUCCAGGCCAGCAUCAGUUCGUCGCGGGGGAUAAAGGUUUCGGGAAUGUGGCUCCUCGGAGUGUUAUAGCCCGUUGCGUAAUACCCUGCGGUGGACUGAGGUCCGCGCUCUGCAAGGAUGCUGGCGUAAUGGUCAUCAACGACCCGUCUUGAAACACGGACCAAGGAGUCGUCUUCGUAUGCGAGUGUUCGGGUGUAAAACCCCUACGCGUAAUGAAAGUGAACGGAGGUGGGAGCUUCGGCGCACCAUCGACCGAUCCUGAUGUUCUCGGAUGGAUUUGAGUAAGAGCAUACGGGGCCGGACCCGAAAGAAGGUGAACUAUGCCUGUAUAGGGUGAAGCCAGAGGAAAACUCUGGUGGAGGCUCGCAGCGGUUCUGACGUGCAAAUCGAUCGUCAAAUAUGGGCAUGGGGGCGAAAGACUAAUCGAACCUUCUAGUAGCUGGUUUCCGCC